GGAGAGGUGGCUCAGAGGUUAAGAGCACUGGCUGCUUUUCCAGGGGACCUGGGUUCAAUUCCCAGCAACCACA
rnacentral:tRNA from 1 species